rnacentral:rRNA from 1 species
GAUGAACGCUGGCGGCGUGCUUAACACAUGCAAGUCGAACGGAAAGGCUCCUUAUUGCAGGGAUACUCGAGUGGCGAACGGGUGAGUAACACGUGGGUGAUCUGCCCUGCACUUCGGGAUAAGCUUGGGAAACUGGGUCUAAUACCGGAUAGGACCGCAUUAUGCAUGGUGUGUAGGAAAGAAUUGUCGGUGUGGGAUGAGCACGCGGCCUAUCAGCUUGUUGGUGGGGUAAUGGCCUACAAAGGCGCCGAAGGGUAGCCGGCCUGAGAGGGAGUACGGCCACAAUGGGACUGAGAUGCGGCCAAGACUCCUACGGGAGGCAGCAGUGGGGAAUAUUGCACAAUGGGCGCAAGCCUGAUGCAGCGACGCCGCGUGGGGGAUGACGGCCUGCGGGUUGUAAACUCCUUUCGAUAGGGAAGAAGAGUAAUUGACGGUACCUGGAGAAGAAGCACCGGCUAACUACGUG